UUUGUAUGCUAGUUAUAUGUUUUAAUGACCUGCUGGAUUGAGGUGGGAGUUCACCGAUUUCUUCCCUGGUGUUACCACAUCAAGUACAGGACUCCCUUCAGGCGUGAGGAGCACUAGUAGCUUCCAUUAGGAGCCUAAGACCUGCAGACCUCUGAGGGUCUGCGUUCAAGCUCACAAGAGGAAUAGCAUUCAUCUGGCAAGUCCAAUGGGGGGGUAAGCAUUUCCAUUUGUAGUGCACUUGUGGAGAGCGCGCGGAGCUGUGCAGAACCAGACCAUCAAGUGUGAAAUGUAUUUCCUAAUUAAAGCACGGCAAGGCCAUCAGAGCCCCUGCAAAAUUAGGGUGGAAAGUGAUCCAGCAGCAAAGGAAGCCUCGUACAUUUCCUUUAAUGCUUUCAUCUUUAUUCUGUGGCUGUGAAAGCCGAGCUCAUUAUAGUCAGACUUAUUUGUCAGGUACAAGGCUAGAAAGAGUAUAAACUGCUGUGAGACACCGGAUAGCAGAUCAAUGAAAAAGUGAAGAUUCUGCAGCAAAAGUGCUGCAUGUGUACAUGGAUACACUUAUCCUCCUGCUGAGAUGAGGUCCGAGCCCCAGGAGUGCGGUUUAAAGGCAAGCACUUCUACGCUCCUUUUUCUUCUCCGAAAUUUAUGUUGCCCGUGGGAGCUACCAGAUCCUAGACCCUGGCUCUGCAGCCUCUCCUCUUAUUCAGCUCUAAGCCAGGAGUAAAUCUUCCUGCUAACUCAAGAGUGAGUAGAUGCACGUAAUUAUGAGCUGGGAUGUCACUGAGAAAAGGAAAUGAUUUCUGAUUCAGAAAUGCAUCCUGCAGUUUUGCUUCUGCAUAAGCAUGAAUUUGACAUGUGAGAAAGCAAUUGACCAUUAAUAUGUAUUGGUGAAGGCUGUGAUGUCUCGGAAUGUUGCAGGUUUCUCAAUUUGUUGCUCUUCUGCAGAGGAGUAAAUGUCUGAUAAUUAAAGGCAAAGGAAGCAUCCCAGCUUGGAGCCAGGCUGCUCCAACAGUGGCAGCUCCAGGCUUCGGGGGGGGUGCUAGGUGUUGACUUGGAAAAUCAUUUUGUGUGAACUUCCUUCAGUGGCGUGGGUGUCUUAAGGGCUUUUCCUCUUCCUAUACCAUUAGGAAACCUGGGUAGCUGAUUUUUUUUGGUCACUUUUGGAUUAUUUUUUUCAGUGGGACAGAUCCUCUGAUGUAGCUGGCCAUGUCACUGUGCCAGUCUAAUGGAAGUCAACAUAAAGCUAGCGCAAGCAGGCUAGAAAGGGAGAAGUGCCUCUGCUUACACUGUUGCCAUCUGAACCAACUUUAGGUGGGGCUGCCCCAAUCCUGCUUUCCAGGCCUCAUGUGAUGCAAUGGUGAGUCAGUCUGGUGAGCUACAUUGGUCAAAAGCUACUCUUUUGUUAGCCAGAUCAGCUCCUAGAGGAACAGGAGCUGAGGGAGGGGAAGCAGCAGCUAAAGGGGGGCGUUUGGCUGUAAUGAAAUCCUCCCAGAAUAUCCUACCGUAGUAUUUGCUUCACCUGAGGUCUCAAAACUCUUCUGUCAAGUGCUGGUCAAGCCUGUUUUAUGGACCCAUAAAGGAUACCAAAAAGAGAAUUCAAGGUCAGCAUUUGAAAUUGUUGCAGAAAAUAGAGCAAAGUCACAGAGAUCUUAAGGGGGAGUGCACCAAGCUCAUAUUAUGAAUCUCAUGUUCCAAAGCAAUAUCAAAGCUUGCUCCUCCCUGAAAAGAUCAUGUCUGCAAAAGCACACGUAAGCAAAUGCAAAAUUUAGAUGCACGAGCAACUGCGUGCCUGUGAUAGCAGCUCUGCUAACGCUAUCACAACGGCUAUAAAAUCCCCCUGGUGCCAGGGUCUUGGGCGCAUCUGUUGAUGCCUAGAUGGGCAUUGCCUAAGGAAAUCCAGUUCCUGAUUGCGAAAAGGCUUAAGGUAGCAGCUUUUCUUCCUUUGUGGGGUUGUUAAACUCAGCUGCGGACAUCUCUGAUGGGGCGGGCGAGGCCUGGGAUGCAGAUGGCACAGUGAUCCUCUGACCAGCAGCUUGCCAUGAUCCUCCGUGCAGCGUCCGGGUCCAGAAAUCAGAUUUCAUGCCUGCCUGGCACGGUGGCCUUAUGCAAAUGCCUCCCACUCUCUGCUUUGCUUCAUUCAUCUGCAGAGUGGAAGGGUAUGAUAAUCCCUGACUAUCUCCCUGCAGUUGAAUGAACGUCUGGAUAAAGCAGCUCUUGAGAACCUUUCUGAGCACGGAGUAGAUUUCUGCUGUUAUAAAAAGAAAGCGCUUCAUUCUGUUGUUAUAUGAGUCACUGGAGGAACUCGUCGUAGAUCUGUCGGAGUACUCGAGAAGCACGGGUCCGUAGCUGCUGGACGGGAGGCACUAACACAGAGUGACUCACUGCCCCCCUCAGGGACAAGAAGAGGUUUCGCAGUCAGAUGGAAAUUGUGUUUUAUAAGCAGAUAGAAUUCUUCACCGUGGAGAAAUCCCAAACAGCUCACAAACACUGACUGCGGCGUGUAAAAGAUGUACUGAGUUUUUUGCAGAUGCUGUUACAUACCUGUGACGGGGCCAGGAAGGGACUUGGAAGAAAGGGCAUUUAAGCCUAAUGGAAAUGAGCUUCUGAAAGGCUAAGAAAAAAGGGGGUAGAGGGUGGGGGGAAGGCGGCAUGGAAAAAUGUUUUCCCUUACAUAGAUAAAUUUAGAUGCCUAGAUCCGCCGUGACAUACAGCACACCUGAUGGAUCCUGCUAUUUUUCUGUCCUUGGGCCAUGUAGCAAGACCAAGGCUCAGCAUGCAACAUCCUCGGGAUGCUACGUGAUUGAAUCCAGUGAGGCUGUGAGUUCGCUACAGCCCCCGAGUGCAGGGGCUGACUUCUCAGAUCCUGUGGAGUUAUUUCCUAGCCUUGGAAAUCCCUGACUCGACAUGCAGUGCUGGCAGCCCUAUAACCAGAGACUGGGCCUGGGGCUUAAUAGCGUCCAUCAGCUGAGGCCUGCAGGUUUGGCUGGACAUGUCUGCGUGCAGCUUCCCCCUCUCUCAAGCAUGCCAGCAAGUGCCUGCGUCUCAGUCUGGUUCCCCAAACAGUCGCUCUCUUUCAUUACUUCUUACAGUAAUGCCACGGCCUUUCAAGUUUUCCAUUUUCAAGCAAAACCAGCUGGACAAAAUCAGCUUUGGUUAUUUUGCUUCCUCCUCCCCGGGCAAGGAGCAGAGCUGGCAGGCCUGGCACUGUCCCCUGGCAGCCCUCGAGUGUUUGCUCAGAGGCAGGCUGUCUGCAGCCGGGCUCUUCUCUCCACUUUUCCCUCUUGCCCUGUUGAAUAUGGGGCUCUAACACCAAGAGCAAACAUCCCAAGCAGUAGCUCAGUAUUUGUAAGUCAUAUCAGAGGUGCGUCUGAUUUCCUAGCAGGAGUAUGUCAAACAGCUACCGCUGGCACCUAGCCAGCCUGUCUGAAUGUAUAUUACAGGGUAUAACCUUCAGGAAAAAGUGCUUUGGUGGCUGGUCUCCGAUCUCUGGGGUUAUAAAUAAAAUAAUUUAGCACUACCUCUGUAAAAGCGGAGUGAAUCCAAAGAAGAGGGGAGUGUUAGCUGUUGGUCUGACGACAGAACAGAUCAAAUAACUAAGCUGUUACCCACUAUUCUAGCAAAUAUUACCACAGCUCCUUUACUGUGUUUUCAGUCUAGGAGGAUCCCAACAGGCUGAAGAUUUGCCUUUAAAAAGUCAGUGUCCCAGCCUUGAACAGCAACUGAAAACAUCCUUCCCUGCUGCCUCUUGGAAAGCAUGAGAAGUCAUCACCCUUCCCACCUGGCUGCUUGUUGGAGAGAGCUGGGAUGGUGCCUUUCCCCCAGGGCUGAGGGCAAAUGCACCCACUGAGUGCCAUAAAGCACACAUUUAUCUUGUAUUGCUCAGAAGGCAAGCAAAAAUUGGGUGAGCAUGAUCCCCAGACUAUGCAGUGAACUGUAAAUAGGAAAAUCUGGGGAGAAAGGACAAAGGAAUUCACAGCAUUUGGGAAUAAUGCCUUUCCUUAGCAGAUUUGGGAUCUGAGCCAGGCUCUACCAAAAUCAAUUGAAAAAACACCUGCUGGCUUCUGUGAGCUGAGGAUGAGAUUUCUAGUAAUGAACCUUGCUUAUCGCUCACCCAGAGCACUGCAGUGGGGCUGGUGGAGAUGUGCCCUCAGCCCCAAAAUGCCUGCACGUGUACAGCUGGGCAGGGGGGCUGUGGCAGUGCAAGGGCUGGAAGCAGCACCUUCACCUGCCGCCCGCUCCACUUCAGCAAGGAGGCCUCCGGCUUUAAUAAAGCGAGUGAUCAAAGCCUUUGUUUAAGUCCUGCUGUUGGGAGAAAGGCGACGCUGCCUCCCAAAAAGCACAGCAAAGCCUCGUGUGGCUGCCCCAAAUCCUGCUUUUCUCAGCUGCAAAUUCCUGCCACCCCGAUUUUCUCCCUCCAGCCUAACGCAGGAGAACAACUGAUGCUGCAGAGCGAGAAAUCUUCCCGAGCAGACAUUUUAUUUUCCUGUAAACCGGAGAUUUAACAUACAGGAGUGAUCUGGGGCCAUUUUUUUUUUCUUCAGCCCCCGAAACAUUAUUUUUUAGCCUUCUGAAAGAUGCAUAUCGGAGGCACCUGAGAGCAGCCAAGGCAGCUGGCUGGUAAGAUCUCUCCAACCCGUUUGCACAGCCCUGCUUUUUCCAGGGAGAGAGAAAGCGUUAACGAGUUGACAGCACGCUUCCUUGCAGCAAGCAGCGCUGCUCUCCGCAAUGCUGCUGCAGGGAGGAGAGAGCAGGGUGGUGGCAGAAGACCUUGAAAAACGCUUUGUUCAGCCCAGUUGCAGAGCUGCCUGCUUCGGUACGAUACCAAGCCCUAGCUGCCCAAACAGGCAGCGGAUUAAGUAGGAGCCUGAGUCCCGUAGCGACGUGGGGCAGUGUGUUGCUCUUAGAUUUUCAAGGGUGAGCGUCCUUGAGGUGGAAAGAAAUGUUUAAACAAGAAGGCUGGAAGCAGAAGGGAGUAUUUCCUAGGCAUGUGGAUUGUGUGUCGCUGUGGCUCCGGAUUACGACCUGGUGGCUGCAAAUGAAGCCCCAGCAGUGCUUUCGCCCUUCGAUGCUGCAGUUUGCAGCCAGGUUCUCAAACUAUGCAAAUGUCCCCGAUCUCGGUUCAGACUGCAUAGAAAAAACUGCUUAGGACAAAAAAAGGACUGAGA